rnacentral:lncRNA from 1 species
AUGGGGGGCGGGAACCCUGGUCCAGGGCUCCCUGGGAGCCCCUUCUCCCUGGAAAGGUGUCCACGAGGGUUAGCAAGUGAACACACACCCUGCCCGGCCCACGUAUCUCUGUCUGUCUCUCCUGAGCCGCACUGGCUCCUGAGCCCGUCCUGCUCUGUGGCUUCCGCUCAGCCCCAGGACUGCCCGUCGGACAUCCUGAUGGGAUGUUUCUGGCAGCCUCACCCGCCGGGUUGGGGGUGCCAAAGCCUGACCACGCUGACCACGCGUCUCUCUGUCUCCCUCCGCCGGCCAGUCCUGGUACCUGGGGUAGCAAGGGUCCUUGCCCCCUGCCCCUCUUCCAUCAUCAAUAAUCCCAGGGGGCAGCACAGCUGGCCCCUCCGAGCAAGCCCAGCCCGGCAGAGAAGACAAAACAACCCAUGCAGGCGGAAGAGGAAAAACCGAACUGAGACACGUGUGGGGGAGGGGCCAGGAAGACCCCCCACCCACCCACACCUCCCAGCCAAGCAGACAGAAAGCCAAGGCGCUGGACUGCAGUGCUGCCCUGCGAGAGCCGGCGCCUGCCUCAUCUCUGCACCUGCUGCUCCAACAGGGCCAGGAUGGAAGCACGCACGAGCACCUGCCCCUCCCCCGGCCCUGACUGCCCAGGUCCAGCGAUUUCUACCGCUUGAGGUGCCUUGUCUUGGAGAGGGUGUCCACGCCUGGGCGCACAAAGCUGCAUGCCUGCUCUAGUCCCAGCGCUGACGUGACAGACUCCGGCCGUGCAAUGGAUGUAUUUAUGUACUCGGCCUGAAACUGCAUCUCACAAGAUCCCCACCAAGAGACAGAUUUGUGUACCAUAGAGAAGUUUCUACAUGAGGAUUGAUGCCUUGAGGGGGAAAAAGUAAUAAGUACCUUCAAGAGCUCCUGCUUCUCAACUCUGCUCCAACAAGGCAAGAUUCUGAGAGUGGCUGUCCCUGGGAAGCAGACUCCAUUCUUGUGGCUCUCCCAUUGGCUCCUGAGACUUUCAUCAGAGAUGGGGCCCCUUUAACUGCUGGGAGCAUCCACUGUUGCUCAGGCACUGAAGCCGCUGUCAUGAGUGUGUGUCCUGACCAGAGAAGCUGAGCUUUGGUGAGAUGACAGUGCAAGAACUACAAACACGUGUGGUCAUCCUGGUGGAGAACUGAAUGCAGAUACUCAAAAAGGAAGGUAAAUUAAAGGGAGAAGAAUGAAAUCUCCUUUUUCUAUUUAAAGGACCUCCUGAGAGGAGAAGAGAGGCAGAGCUCUGGGAUUUUAGGUUUGGAAGUGAAUUUCUCCCUCAUGAACAUAUGUAGAGUGAGAAGAGACCCUCAACACAUGUUCUAUGUACCAUUUCACCUCAGCAGUGCACAUUUAUGUUUAGAAUCACUCGGAGACUUUAGAAUAUAAAACAUUGUCCUGGCCCUCUGCAGAC